CAUUUUGGAGGGAAAACAACAGCACAAAUCUAAGUGUCCCAUCGCCCGGCGAAGACCCUUGUCCCUGCAUCACACAUCAACGGUAGGAUCUUUAGAAGGGGGGGACGCCCUUUCACGUGGUGCUGACUUGAAAUUUUUCUAGAUGUAGGACCACAAUAUGGGCCUGCGAUUGCCCCAUGCAGGCGGUCAGGAUUAUCACAACAGGCUUGAGACUUAUGUGAUGGUGGCACCAUCAACCAAUCCGAUAUCUGUUUAAGGCCGAGCGACUUCCACUGGGAUGACUGAUGGCUCUUUAAGAGUUCCUGUGGUGGGAGAUACGGAUCUGGCUUGUUCCGGCACAAAUUAAUCCCGGUGUCUUGACCUUUUAACUCUGUCUGGGCACAAGGAUGUAAUCCCCCAUGUGUGGUUUAAAACAUCAGGCUGCCAUCCCCGCUACAGGAAGUUUAUGAGCCACAUGUACAGUUUGUGUCUUUGAUAUAUUAACAAAUAAAGGAUGUCACA